CCGCAAGAAUGAAAUGAACACAACCAGGGAAGACGACGAUGUUGUUCGAUUCGUACUGACAGAUAUGAUCGGUCCAUCGAUUCUAACCAACGAUGCGACUUUUGUUUAUAAUAUAUUUCAUACAGUUUUCGAAUUACACGCGAGAUGUCGUGCGUGACAGCGCCACCCACUCGCCAUCAUUGGCCGCCAAUUGGAAUAUCUUUUUCUCGUUGUCGACGGUAAAAGACGAUGCUUGCAUGUAAUACGAUAAAAUGGAUUAUAACAAACAAUGGAAUAUAUGUGAUUAUUUGAAGAGUGUUAUUAAUUUCAGUGUAAGUACAUCGGACGAUUCGUAGCCUACAAAAUGUCUAUGUAUUUGUAGGUAUUUCGUUAUUCAUUGUACAUAACCUCGUUCGACUUCGUUCGUCUCUUUCUUAUUUAAAGUUUAUUGUGCAUAAUUUUAACCAAUGACAAGAUUGUCAUACUAUUUCUUACUCGUUAACGUGAUUGCCAACAGUGUUUUUUUAACCAUCUAUUCGAGUUUAUAAGAUAGCAAGGAAUUUCGAGGGCGUGAGAUGUAAUGCCACGUUUCCAAUGGUCGUCAGCGUGGCGUCUUGCAUGAGACACGCGUGGACAGACCGUAUAUCUUUGUCUUAAGUUGGAGAAGGAUGAGGUUAAAGAAGAAAGAGCAAAAGACACGAGAAGUGGCCAGUGGAAAGCCGACUAAAACCCGAGCCAAGAGAUCUGAGAUUUCGACUUCUAUUCUGGUCAGAGAUGCGAUCCGAUUGCGCUCGACGUCGCGUUAGAAACGCGAGACAAUAUUAUUAGACACGUUGGAAAAACGAAGAAAAAGAAAAAACAAUUUCUAACAAACUUACCGACAUUAACGUUUGCUCAUGGAUCAUACAGCUCAAUUAACAACGAAGCCGGAAAUUUAAUAAUAUCGGAAGGAAAUUAUAACCUACAAUUGACAUUUUAUGUUAUUUUAUUAUUCCCAAUAAUAAAGAAACGUAUUGUUUCAAGGAAAAUUAUAAAAUCUUUCUUAAAAAUACUUCUUUUCCAGAGGAGAGCUCUUUCAAAUACAAAAGAUGAAUAGUUCAGGAUUACUUUGAACACCGAAAAGGCAGAAAGGCAAGCUUUUCUCCGCGGACGAAGAAGCAUUUCAUGGAUGUGAAGAGAGCAAAUUGAAAAUCGGUUGGUCAGUUUGUCGGCAAGCAGAGAGAAGAUUUUCCCAAGUACACAGAGAAAAGGGAAGUCUGUCGCUACUCUCUCACAGUUUCUCUCUCUACUCUCCAAGAUCCAGUCUGCUCGGCAGGUGAGCACGUUGAGGAAGAAGCGUUGAGAAGAGAAGAAGGGACUUCACCGGCAGCUGAUUCCAUAAGCAGAUAGGAAAGAAUUUCUUCGGCCUAAAAUAAUGGGGAUGCAGCCUACCGUGUACACACCGCCUCUGUUUACAAACUUUGGCUCACCUCUCUUUUCCUCCACGGUCAAGCUGAAACGCAUCCACCUUUUUCUUUUUUUCUACCUGCUCUUCCUCUACCUCUUCGCAAAUAUACCAAUCGCGCAAUUUUAAAGGAAAAAUAUCCUCCAUGAAUUGUAACUUGUACUGUUUUUUUUUAAGGAUACAAUAUUAACAUGUAAAAAAUAAUAUCUGUUAUCAAUAUUUUUAAACAAUUAUUAAUAAUUAUUAGAUUUAAUGACAAGUGAUAUGUAAUCAGAAGAAUUAUUGUAUCGAUAUAUUUAAAAAUUAAUUCAUUUGACGAUGUUAAUAAAUGUGAGGAAACAAGUGUAAAAGAA
rnacentral:lncRNA from 1 species